rnacentral:tRNA from 1 species
GUCAGAUAGCUCAGUGUAGAGCAGAGACUGAAAUC